GGGUCCUCGGGUUCGGGGAAGACGGCUGCGGCUUCUUCUCGGCACGGGGAAGACGAUGGCGGUGUCGGCGCGGGUCGGGGUGGAUGGAAUCGACGCCUAGGACGACGCGAAGGCGGCGGCCGUGGUGGAGCUUCAGGCGGUGUGACAAAAGGGAAAUGAACCGCGUCACAAUACUCGCAAGGGGGAGGGAAAGAGAAAGGGUUAAGGCUACGGGUUUGGUUCUCACCGUGUCGUCGACGGUGACCAAAACUCGCGGCGGUGUCCGUGCAAGUCCCGCGAGCUAAAUGCGCAGCCUGGCGGCGAAAAUCGGGAGGGGAAAGAGAGGGGAAAGAAGCGGGGGUGCUCGGGCUUUAUACGGACGCGCUCGGCAAGGGGAGGGAAGCACGGAGCAGACAGGGAGGCAGCGAUGGCGCGCGCGGGAUCAUCGGCGUGACGCGCGGCCGGUUGCCUUGCGGAGACGACGACCCUGACUGGUGGAGGGUCCACCUAUCAGCGGCUCGGUGCGGGCGCACGCGCGGGGCUGGUUCGGUCGGUCACGCGGGGCCGGUUCGACCCAAGUUGGCCGGGCCUGUCCGGUUUUCUUUUUUCUUGUUCUUUUCUUUUUUUUUCCUUUUUCUGAUUUCUUUGAUAUCUUUUGAUUUUGAACUCCAAAUUGAUCCAAAUAAAUUCCGGAAUUUUUUUAAAAUAAUAUUAUAAUAUGAUUCAACUUUUGGGACUAAUUUUCCUUCCAAAAAAAAUAUAAAAAAAAUACAUUUGCCCUAUAAAUGCCUUUAGGGCUUAAUAACUAAUUAAAUAAAUUAGUUUUUCAAGUCCAAAUAAAUACCUAAAAAUUAUGGGAUAGCUUAGUUAUGCAAUAAACCCCUUUUACAAAUAAACCCUAUGGGUUUUAAAGUCCAAAGCUCAAAUGGGUGAAAAACCAAAGGUUUAAAAGGAAAUAAAACCUUUUCAAAGCGUUUUUGGGAUUCAAAAAUUGAUUCAAAUAUGCAAUUGUGGUAUGAUGCUCAUGAGUGCAAUGCAUAUGAAGGAGUUUGAAAUUUUGGGAUGUUACAGACCUAACCCCC
rnacentral:lncRNA from 1 species